rnacentral:rRNA from 1 species
UCGAUUAGCCAUGCGAGUCGAGAGCUUUCGGAGCUCGGCAUACUGCUCAGUAACACGUGGAUUACCUGCCCUGUGCUCCGGGAUAACCUCGGGAAACUGAGAAUAAUACCGGAUAGUCCACCACGCCUGGAACGGUGGGUGGAUCAAAGGUCACGGCACAGGAUGGGUCUGCGGCGUAUCAGGUUGUAGGGGGUGUAAAGGACCCCCUAGCCAUUGACGCGUACGGGGUUGUGGGAGACAUAGCCCGGAGAUGGAUUCUGAGACACGAAUCCAGACCCUACGGGGUGCAGCAGGCGCGAAAACUUCACACUGCAGGAAACUGUGAUGAGGGAACUCCAGUGCAUGCACAAUGUGUAUGCUUUUCCUUACUUUUAAUCGGUUAGGGAAUAAAGGCUGGGAAAGAACGGUGCCAGCCGCCGCGGUAAUUCCGGCAGCUCCAGUGGUCGGUCGUUUUUAUUGGGCCUAAACGUCGGUAGCUGGUUGGGUAAAUUCGUGGGUAAAUCAACCACUUUAAUUUGUUGAAUUCAGCAAGACUGCAAAUUAGGUCCGGAAAGGUGGGGUAUCUC